rnacentral:rRNA from 1 species
GGCCGCGGGAAUUCGAUUCAGGCCUAACACAUGCAAGUCGAGCGGUAGAGAGAAGCUUGCUUCUCUUGAGAGCGGCGGACGGGUGAGUAAUGCCUAGGAAUCUGCCUGGUAGUGGGGGAUAACGUUCGGAAACGGACGCUAAUACCGCAUACGUCCUACGGGAGAAAGCAGGGGACCUUCGGGCCUUGCGCUAUCAGAUGAGCCUAGGUCGGAUUAGCUAGUUGGUGAGGUAAUGGCUCACCAAGGCUACGAUCCGUAACUGGUCUGAGAGGAUGAUCAGUCACACUGGAACGGAGACACGGUCCAGACUCCUACGGGAGGCAGCAGUGGGGAAUAUUGGACAAUGGGCGAAAGCCU